GGAUAGCUCAGUCGGUAGAGCAUGAGACUCUUAACCUCAGGGUUAUGAGCUUGAGCCUCAUGUUGGGCA